rnacentral:rRNA from 1 species
UACGUAGGGUGCAAGCGUUGUCCGGAAUUAUUGGGCGUAAAGAGCUCGUAGGCGGUUUGUCGCGUCUGCUGUGAAAACGCGAGGCUCAACCUCGCGCCUGCAGUCGAUACGGGCAGGCUAGAGUUCGGUAGGGGAGGCUGGAAUUCCUGGUGUAGCGGUGAAAUGCGCAGAUAUCAGGAGGAACACCGAUGGCGAAGGCAGGUCUCUGGGCCGAUACUGACGCUGAGGAGCGAAAGCGUGGGGAGCGAACAGG